rnacentral:rRNA from 1 species
GCAACCUGCCCCUGGCUCUGGGAUAACUCCAAGAAAUUGGGGCUAAUACCGGAUAUGACCGCUGACCGCAUGGUCUGGUGGUGGAAAGAUUUAUCGGCUGGGGAUGGGCCCGCGGCCUAUCAGCUUGUUGGUGGGGUAGUGGCCUACCAAGGCGACGACGGGUAGCCGGCCUGAGAGGGUGACCGGCCACACUGGGACUGAGACACGGCCCAGACUCCUACGGGAGGCAGCAGUGGGGAAUAUUGCGCAAUGGGCGAAAGCCUGACGCAGCGACGCCGCGUGGGGGAUGACGGCCUUCGGGUUGUAAACCUCUUUCAGCAGGGACGAAGCGAAAGUGACGGUACCUGCAGAAGAAGCACCGGCCAACUACGUGCCAGCAGCCGCGGUAAUACGUAGGGUGCAAGCGUUGUCCGGAAUUAUUGGGCGUAAAGAGCUCGUAGGCGGUUCGUCGCGUCGGCUGUGAAAACCUGAGGCUCAACCUCAGGCCUGCAGUCGAUACGGGCGGACUUGAGUACUGCAGGGGAGACUGGAAUUCCUGGUGUAGCGGUGAAAUGCGCAGAUAUCAGGAGGAACACCGGUGGCGAAGGCGGGUCUCUGGGCAGUAACUGACG